GAUGAACGCUGGCGGCGUGCCUAAUACAUGCAAGUCGAGCGAACGGACGAGAAGCUUGCUUCUCUGAUGUUAGCGGCGGACGGGUGAGUAACACGUGGAUAACCUACCUAUAAGACUGGGAUAACUUCGGGAAACCGUAGCUAAUACUGGAUAAUAUUUUGAACCGCAUGGUUCAAAAGUGAAAGACGGUCUUGCCGUCACUUAUAGAUGGAUCCGCGCUGCAUUAGCUAGUUGGUAAGGUAACGGCUUACCAAGGCAACGAUGCAUAGCCGACCUGAGAGGGUGAUCGGCCACACUGGAACUGAGACACGGUCCAGACUCCUACGGGAGGCAGCAGUAGGGAAUCUUCCGCAAUGGGCGAAAGCCUGACGGAGCAACGCCGCGUGAGUGAUGAAGGUCUUCGGAUCGUAAAACUCUGUUAUUAGGGAAGAACAUAUGUGUAAGUAACUGUGCACAUCUUGACGGUACCUAAUCAGAAAGCCACGGCUAACUACGUG
rnacentral:rRNA from 1 species